UACAAGGUGGGAAAAGAAAUCCUAAUGACUAUAAAUAUCAACAUCUGCCUCUUGGGGACACAUCUGUCCAGUCUAAGUUUAACCAGGUACAGGGCUAAAAAGGACUUGAACACAGACAGCAGUUUUAAAUUGAAAUGUUCUCUAAGGACAAAACAGACAUUAGAUUUCAAAAGACUUUGCCCCCCACACACACCCAUACACACACAGGAAAAAAGCUCAUUAAUAAUUAUUUGUAUUGAGUUACAUGCCAACGUGAUAUUUUGAACCAUUGGGGUGAAAUGAAACAUUAUCAUUAAAAUUAAUUUCAACUGUGCUUUUAAAUUCUUCUGAAUGCAGUCCUAGAAAAUGUAAAUCACGUACGCGACUCACAUUGUAGUUCUAUUAGACAGUGCUGGUUUUGAUUUUUAAAUAUAAAUCAUUUGGAACUUUCCUGAUCCCCAGUGUUUUGGAUGAUUAUUUUAUUCAGACUUCUAAAUGCUAAUUAACUUUGAAGUCCACUCAGCAGCUAUAAAAUACCCACUGCUCUUCAAUUACGAAGGCACAAAAGGUUCCUUGUUAGCUGCCCUCUGCCAGUUGGUCCCUGGGACUAGAGUUGAAGAUACUGAGCAUGACCUUUUAAAUACUGGCAUGCUCCAGUCUUUACAAAGCACAAAUGUUUCCAAAUAAGGCAGGCCCACAAAACUUCUUCUGAACUCUUUAAGAUGCCUGAUCAAAAGGGCUGCCUUUUGAACAUGAUUAAAGAUGGGGCUGAGAAGACAGAUGACUUCUCACACAAAGAUGACUUCUUGCGUCAGAGGGAUAGCUCAGUGACAGUACACAGAGCUUGUACAUGAGAGGUCUUGGGUUCAAUCAGUGCCACUGCAAAAAAAAAAAAAAAAAAGCCAGAGCUGAGAGGUGCUUUGCUAGGGAAGGAAGAAGGGAGGCUUCUCUGUGGGGUAUUACGUCUGCUGGAACCGUGUAGUGUUGGAUCACAGGAGAGCUGUGUCUUUCAACAUUCCUAGCCUUGGGGAAAAGCUGGCCUGAAAGAUAAUGUCCAGUCCAUUGCCCCACUCAAUGAAAAUUAAGACAGAAUCCACAGCACAAGAUUAAAAGAACAGCACCACGUCUCUUUUUAUCUGUAUGACUGGCUUGGAACACCCUAUUCAAGCCUUUCACUCUGAGUCUCCCAUCUGUCUGAUGUGAGACUUCUCGCACACACAGUGGGGGAUGGAGCCUUACACUUUGUGACUAGUCAGUCCGAGCUGGUGUGAAAGGAGAGAGGCUACAUCUUGGGCAUUUCUGCAACCUGGCAUUCCACACAGAUUGUGUGCAGACUGAAAGAAACAGGACAAAUAAAUAUCCGUCAACAGAGAGAGUGCUCCAUUUACGGUACGCAUGCUAAGGUA